rnacentral:rRNA from 1 species
GCUUAACACAUGCAAGUCGAGGGGCAGCAUGGUCUUAGCUUGCUAAGACUGAUGGCGACCGGCGCACGGGUGAGUAACACGUAUCCAACCUGCCGUCUACUCUUGGACAGCCUUCUGAAAGGAAGAUUAAUACAAGAUGGCAUCAUGAGUCCGCAUGUUCACAUGAUUAAAGGUAUUCCGGUAGACGAUGGGGAUGCGUUCCAUUAGAUAGUAGGCGGGGUAACGGCCCACCUAGUCUUCGAUGGAUAGGGGUUCUGAGAGGAAGGUCCCCCACAUUGGAACUGAGACACGGUCCAAACUCCUACGGGAGGCAGCAGUGAGGAAUAUUGGUCAAUGGGCGAGAGCCUGAACCAGCCAAGUAGCGUGAAGGAUGACUGCCCUAUGGGUUGUAAACUUCUUUUAUAAAGGAAUAAAGUCGGGUAUGGAUACCCGUUUGCAUGUGCUUUAUGAAUAAGGAUCGGCUAACUCCGUGCCAGCAGCCGCGGUAAUACGGAGGAUCCGAGCGUUAUCCGGAUUUAUUGGGUUUAAAGGGAGCGUAGAUGGAUGUUUAAGUCAGUUGUGAAAGUUUGCGGCUCAACCGUAAAAUUGCAGUUGAUACUGGAUAUCUUGAGUGCAGUUGAGGCAGGCGGAAUUCGUGGUGUAGCGGUGAAAUGCUUAGAUAUCACGAAGAACUCCGAUUGCGAAGGCAGCCUGCUAAGCUGCAACUGACAUUGAGGCUCGAAAGUGUGGGUAUCAAACAGGAUUAGAUACCCUGGUAGUCCACACGGUAAACGAUGAAUACUCGCUGUUUGCGAUAUACUGCAAGCGGCCAAGCGAAAGCGUUAAGUAUUCCACCUGGGGAGUACGCCGGCAACGGUGAAACUCAAAGGAAUUGACGGGGGCCCGCACAAGCGGAGGAACAUGUGGUUUAAUUCGAUGAUACGCGAGGAACCUUACCCGGGCUUAAAUUGCAGAUGAAUUACGGUGAAAGCCGUAAGCCGCAAGGCAUCUGUGAAGGUGCUGCAUGGUUGUCGUCAGCUCGUGCCGUGAGGUGUCGGCUUAAGUGCCAUAACGAGCGCAACCCUUGUUGUCAGUUACUAACAGGUUCCGCUGAGGACUCUGACAAGACUGCCAUCGUAAGAUGUGAGGAAGGUGGGGAUGACGUCAAAUCAGCACGGCCCUUACGUCCGGGGCUACACACGUGUUACAAUGGGGGGUACAGAGGGCCGCUACCACGCGAGUGGAUGCCAAUCCCCAAAACCUCUCUCAGUUCGGACUGGAGUCUGCAACCCGACUCCACGAAGCUGGAUUCGCUAGUAAUCGCGCAUCAGCCACGGCGCGGUGAAUACGUUCCCGGGCCUUGUACACACCGCCCGUCAAGCCAUGGGAGCCGGGGGUACCUGAAGUGCGUAACCGCGAGGAGCGCCCUAGGGUAAAACUGGUGACUGGGGCUAAGUA